GACGAACGCUGGCGGCGUGCUUAACACAUGCAAGUCGAACGGAAAGGCCCUGCUUUUGUGGGGUGCUCGAGUUGCGAACGGGUGAGUAACACGUGAGUAACCUGCCCUUGACUUUGGGAUAACUUCAGGAAACUGGGGCUAAUACCGGAUAGGAGCUCCUGCUGCAUGGUGGGGGUGGGAAAGUUUCGGCGGUUGGGGAUGGACUCGCGGCUUAUCAGCUUGUUGGUGGGGUAGUGGCUUACCAAGGCUUUGACGGGUAGCCGGCCUGCGCGGGUGACCGGACACAUUGGGACUGAGCUACGGCCCAGACUCCUACGGGAGGCAGCGGUGGGGAAUAGUGCACAAGGGGCGGAAGCCUGAUGCAGCAAAGCAGCGUGCGGGAUGACGGCCUUCGGGUUGUAUACCGCUUUCGCCUGUGACGAAGCGUGAGUGACGGUAAUGGGUAAAGAAGCACCGGCUAACUCCGUG
rnacentral:rRNA from 1 species